UACGGAGGGUGCGAACGUUAAUCGGAAUUACUGGGCGUAAAGCGCGCGUAGGCGGCUUGUUAAGUCAGAUGUGAAAGCCCCGGGCUCAACCUGGGAAUUGCAUUUGAAACUGGCAGACUUGAGACCGGGAGAGGGUAGUGGAAUUUCCAGUGUAGAGGUGAAAUUCGUAGAUAUUGGAAAGAACACCAGUGGCGAAGGCGAGUCUCUGGACGAUUCCUGACACUGAGGCACGAAAGCUAGGGGAGCAAACAGG
rnacentral:rRNA from 1 species